GACGAACGCUGGCGGCGUGCUUAACACAUGCAGGUCGAGCGGUAAGGCCCCUUCGGGGGUACACGAGCGGCGAACGGGUGAGUAACACGUGGGUGACCUGCCCUCAGCUCUGGGAUAAGCCUGGGAAACUGGGUCUAAUACCGGAUAUGACUCCAUGACGCAUGUCGUGGGGUGGAAAGCCUUGUGCGGCUGGGGAUGGGCCCGCGGCCUAUCAGCUUGUUGGUGGGGUGAUGGCCUACCAAGGCGACGACGGGUAGCCGGCCUGAAAGGGCGACCGGCCACACUGGGACUGAGACACGGCCCAGACUCCUACGGGAGGCAGCAGUGGGGAAUAUUGGACAAUGGGCGAAAGCCUGAUCCAGCAACGCCGCGUGAGGGAUGACGGCC
rnacentral:rRNA from 1 species